rnacentral:snRNA from 1 species
GGAUGUGAGGGUGAUCUGGCUGCGACAUCUGUCACCCCAUUGAUCGCCAGGGUUGAUUCUGGCUGAUCUGGCUGAUCUGGCUGGCUAGGCGGGUGUCCCCUUCCUCCCUCACUGCUCCAUGUGCAUCCCUCCCGAAGCUACGGGCUCGGUUGAAGAGGACGGCCUUCCCUGAAUAGAGAUGGACCGGUCUUUGGUUGAGGGUAUACGAGUAGCUGCGCUCCCCUGCUAGAACCUCCAAACAAGCUCUCAAAUUCUGGCUUUCUUUAUCCAAUAAUAAAUAAAGACAAUUUUUUUUAAAAGGAAUUGGUCAUUGGGUGAUCAAUGAGAACAUAUUU